rnacentral:rRNA from 1 species
UACGGAGGGUGCAAGCGUUACCCGGAUCACUGGGCGUAAAGCGUGCGCAGGCGGUUUUGUAAGUCUGACGUGAAAGCCCCGGGCUCAACCUGGGAAUUGCGUUGGAGACUGCAAGGCUUGAAUCUGGCAGAGGGGGGUAGAAUUCCACGUGUAGCAGUGAAAUGCGUAGAGAUGUGGAGGAACACCGAUGGCGAAGGCAGCCCCCUGGGUCAAGAUUGACGCUCAUGCACGAAAGCGUGGGGAGCAAACAGG